CGUUGAUCGACAGUUUACAAAAUACAUUAAGGGCCGUCUCACCGACGUGAAAAAAAGACUUUUAUCCGAUUCUUAAACCGAGUUAAUAAGACAACCGUGAACGGUCAUCAGCGGUAAACUUAGUUUAAGAAUCGGAUAAACGGCUUUUUUUUUUUACACGUUGGUGAAACGGCCCUAAGUUUAUCACAAUAUAUUAUUUAUCAGUACAGAAAUCAGUCAUACACUGGUGUACGUGACUGGUCUUAUUGCUUUAGAAUGCGCUUACUUUUAAUUUUGAACGGACAAUCAAAUUCAAAUUUAAAUCGACGACUACUAAACCGCAUUUAGUGCCUUUCUUACCGACGUAAAUGAAAAAAAAAAAAAAAAAUUGAGAAGCGUUUAUCCGAUUAAUAAACUGGGCUUACGGCCGAUGACCG